UCUGAGUCAGACUUAAAAUAAGUAAUUCUUUAUAAUAAUCACUGUAUAAGCAUCAGGGACAUGUAUUUCAUGAGCAUUAGAGUUGUAUGCAUCAAUAAAUAUUACAAUAAUAUUUUCUUUUUAUGCGGUUAUUUUUAGCAAAAUAUUCAGAACUGAAAUUGUAAGAUGCCUUAAUUGCUCUGAGUUAUAGUGUAAAUUAAAAUAGUAUUUCCAGUAUGCUUUUCAUAAAAAAGAACAAGGGGAAGCAUUUAAUCUUGAUUUCACAUAAUCCAAUCAUAACUUAGAUAAGUUCAAUUUAGUACAUGAACUAAAACCGAGUAGGCCGUUUUGGUGCAUAUCUGAAGGGAUGGGUUUGUUCUGAAUGUUUGGAUCAUCUGUUCUGGUGGAGCUGGUUGCUCUGCCAAGCAUCCCAGUCACAGCAGGAAAGGCAUUGGAAGGGCCCUUGAGGAGAGGCAGGUUUUAAGGGCAUUCACGGAGGGAUAGGUUUAAAAGGAGGCUGGUCACUGCCUGGGGGAUGUGACAGCCCCUGGAAAAGAGCCAGCUGCCAGUUUGCCAGCAAGUGCUGACACUCUCUGUGCACAAGGAGUGUGCCCAGCUCAGGCAUGGGCCCUUCCCUCCCUCCCUCCCUCUGUGAAUGCACAGGUAGGAGCUAAUUCAGGGGUGAUCCAGGAGUGGAGAGGCAGCUCUCACCUGUACAGUAACUUGUCUCUUUCUAAAUGAAGGUCUGGAGUUUCUGCUUGUAGGAGCUUGUGGCGCCCAACCUCUUAAUUAGUGAAACAGGAAGUUUUAACUAAAUGCUUCAGAAUCAUGUGGUUUGUAUAUGAUCUUUAUCAACAUAGGAGUUACUGACUGCUGCCCUUCAGAGAUAAACAUUAAAGAUCUGAAAAUAUUUGCCUCCCAACAUUGACUGUCGGGUUUGCCUUUUGGUCUUUAGUUAUUGUUGCUUCUUUUUGCUGCUUUGUGAUAGAUUGCUGCUUUUUUUUUUUUUUUAGCAGAAACCAGGAAUCUCAUGUUUUUGAUCAUGGUAGCUGAUGCUUUAAGACAACUCAAUAUCAUAAAUAUAUGAUAAAAUUAUUCUGAGGCUGAAGAAAGAUUCAUGCAAGGCAAAACUAAAAGGAGCUGAGUUUGUGAGGUGUACAGAGCUCUCAUACUCUUCUUUAGGUCUUCAGUGCUGUACAUGAAUGCAACACUGUGACUAUUGUUUUCAAGCAACCUUUCAGAAGUGUGUUAUAGUGGGAGGCAUAUACAAGCAGGAGAUCUGCUUUAAGAGCCACAGCUCAUUUGCUUGAGGAAAAUAAUACAGAGAAUUAGCUCCAGCCCCUCUUGGCAUUUUUUCUUGGGCCUUCAGUGAGAGCUGACCUAACUGCAGGUAGAUGCUUGCAAAAUAAUUUGGGAGCAACCCACAACAAACCAAACAAAUCCAUAAUAUUAUAUUUUUCCAGAAUUAUUUUGGGACUUUCGUAUAGCUCUGGUCCCACUGCACAGAGAUGAACUGUAUCAGGAUAGCUUUUCUGGGAUAGAUUCCAACAAUAUUUCCUUGUGAGUUUGGGAUGAACAUACUGGGCAUAUUAGAUGACUGAUGAAAAUGCUAGAACUACUCCAUGACAAUCUUCUCAAGGUGGUUAGUGCCUGGUCAUGCCUCCACUGGAAGAAAAAAAUCAUCAUUUAGGUGAAAAUAUGUGUGCUGGUAUGCAUUAGGCUGAUUUUUGAGAAAAUGUAUUUUUAUCAGGUAAUAUGAUGGUUUUCUUUACGCAGAGGGAGAUAUGAACAGCAAAAUUAGUGGUCACUGUGGCCCUGUAAUCUUCUCUUAAACCAUACAAGUCAGCCACCACCUGUCUAGUUAAGGACUAGCUUUUCCUGAAAUACUCAUAUAAGCAAAGUUUUAAAAUUAUUAAGAGUGUGCUGGAAAAAUUGGUGUAGUAUUUUAAAAAGUGAUAAUUCAAUUUGCACAUAUUGUCUAAGUACCUGUGUGUGUGUGUGUUGUUAAGAAGACAUAAAGGAGAUUAAGAAACAAAACGACUUUGCUGCAGUGUUUUCCAUGGACUUGAAAAUCUUCAGCCAGUGUCUCAGCUACUAUAAAUUGGCAUAAACUCCAAUACCUUAAAGCUGCAUUAGUUUAUGUGACUCAAGGAGAUGACCUCUAGGAUUUGUGGGACCACUGUGUAAAUACCAGAGCCUUCAGCCUGCCAGGGUCAAAAUAAAUAAUGCCUUUGGAACAGUUCUGGCUCCACGCUUAUAUUUUACUCCUUGAUUUAAGCAACAGUGUGUGAAGCAGAGCAGGGAUAAGGGAGCCUUCAGCAGCUCUGCACCUUUCCCCAGCAAAACCACCACCAGGCUAUUGCCAUUUUCAUCUUGCAGAGGGAAACUGAUGAAGAGAGAAGCUGUCUCCUUACUGUGGCGCUAAAAAAUGCACUUUCUUUUUGGUGGGCACAAGAGGCAGUGGCAGAGCUUUCCAGUACUAAGUAAGGGGCAAACCCUUCUGAAGAACAUCUAACAUGACAAGAAAAUUUUGAUCCUCCAAGCCCCUCACUUGACUGUGGAAUGACACAGAAGGAGGUGGAGAGAUGCUCUGGCAGUGCUGCAGCUCUGCCCUUGUGCCCACACAGAUGCUUCCUUUGUGUCAGGAAAAAACAAAUUAAUGGUCCCCACCGACUCUACCUGUGCAAUGUGCCCCUCUGCAGGGGUGGGUGGAUGGGCAGUCAGGGAUGGAGCUGGGCAGGUUAAAUUGUUAUGAAUGUAAUGCAUGAAGAACAGGCUUUUAAAAUAGUUUCCUUUUUUCCCUGAGAUAGAAAAGGCAGGGAAGAAAAACGUUGGGAGCUGAGAACUGGCAAAAGGUGCCAAUCCAAGCUUUAUCCAGAGGAAAAAAUGCAGCAGUCUGGGAGGUGCCAGGGAUGCUUCUGGCAGGAGUAGCAGAGCACAGAGCCAUUCUUCCCUGCAGCAGGUUUGCUGUACUAGCAGGUAUAGCUGCAGGCUGCUAUCAUCAUAAACCUCCAGCUAUUUUCAUUUCAUCAAAACAAAUGCAAAGUUUGCCUCUAAACAGAUAUAAAAUGCUCUAAAAGAGUCUUGGGCUUUUUCUAGCAUGGGGAAGAUGCAGCGAGACAAGCCCUGUGUCCUGUGCCUGUGUGGGUAAAAGUGUGGAGAGAGACCAGGAAAGGUUGAGGAGCAGUUGUUGGGAUGCUGGCUUGAAGCUGAGAGAACAGCUGGAUGUGAGCCUGUGUCACUGGCAUUAAAUCAAUGGGAUGGCUGCAGGGUCGAGGGCCUAAGGCACACAAAUCCAGCCAGGUCUCUCUCCUGAAGGAGAAGGAGCUUUGGCAGCCCCUUGGCUGAACAGGGACCAUCAGUGGCCAAGGGACACUCAAGGGCAGAAACAGGCAGGUGUGUUGCAAGCUUUGUCUCACCUCAGCUGCCUCUGAGAUCUGUAGGUGCCCUGUGGAGCUAAUCAGCCUCCCAAACCCCCAGACUUCUUAUUUUACUGAUUUAAAAAUAGCCUCAGGCUCCUUAAGGGGCUGCAGCUGAGGAGACUCCCUUGGAACCCAGCUGGCUGAAGGGGCCCUGUAAAACUCAGGUCCUCCACAGGGAUGUUUUCCAAGUGUGGUAGAAAAAGACAUUUUUACAUUUCUGUCUUUGCAUGUGCUCCAAUUCCUCUGUGUUUUGACAGAAAGAAGCAUGGCACAAGGGGAUGCCAGUGCUGGCAUACUGCAGAGGUCUGGCAGAAGGAAUCCCAGCAAGGAGAGGCAAACAGGACUUACUGCAGAGGCCACAGACUUUCCUUCUUCAUACUUACUAACUUCUCAGAGAGGGCCUGCUACUUCUGAUGCCAUAGCUGGAUUCUCAUCACGUGAUGUCCCCUCACUGCUUUGCACCUUCUGCUUUCCAUGGAGCUUCCAUCAUACUCAAGGAGGGCUCAUCAUAACCUUUCCUGUGGACAGCAUUCACUGGGAAAGACUGGAAGACUUCUCUGGCCAAAUAAUAGUAAGCAGAGGUUGCUUCUGCUGCUGAGGUGGAGAUUCAUUUGCAGUCAGCCUGCUCCAUUUGUCUUCUUCCUGACAAUAAAAUGUUGGACAGAGCAGAUGAGACAUUGCCUGUGUGGAAAUCAGAUCCUCUCUAGGAAGGCUUACACCACUUUACUGUCCAUGCAAAACAAAUCUGUAAUUAAAUGGUGCUUUAAAUGCUCA